rnacentral:rRNA from 1 species
GGCUCAGAAUCAACGCUGGCGGCGCGCUUAACACAUGCAAGUCGCACGAGAAAGGGAGCAAUCCUAAGUAAAGUGGCGUACGGGUGAGUAACACGUGGAUCAUCUACCUUCUGGUGGGGAAUACCCCCGGGAAACUGGGGACAAUUCCGCAUAAGCUCGGAAGAGGAAAGCAGCAAUGCGCCGGAAGAGGAGUCCGCGGCCGAUUAGCUAGUUGGUGGGGUAAUGGCCCACCAAGGCAACGAUCGGUAGCCGGCCUGAGAGGGCGGACGGCCACACUGGGACUGAGACACGGCCCAGACUCCUACGGGAGGCAGCAGUGGGGAACUGUUCGCAAUGGGCGCAAGCCUGACGACGCAACGCCGCGUGGAGGAUGAAGAUCUUCGGGUCGUAAACUCCUUUCGAUCGAGACGAACGGCCUCCGGGUGAACAAUCCGGGGGAGUGACGGUACCGAGAGAAGAAGCCCCGGCU